rnacentral:lncRNA from 10 species
GGAGGCCGCGCAGUGGGGCAGGCAACAUCCAACUGCUUUAGCCUUUUUGCCCACGUAUUUUCAGGAUAUUGGCUUUCAGAUUCCAGGUGUAUGACUCUGCUUGAUUUUUGCAGUUGGCCCAAUGUGCACCUCAGCCAUUUUCUAUUGAUUUUUUUUGAGACGGAGUCUUGCUCUAUUGCCCAGGCUGGAGUGCAGUGGCGCGAUCUUGGCUCACUGCAAGCUCCGCCUCCCGGGUUCACGCCAUUCUCCUGCCUCAGCCUCCCGAGUAGCUGGGACUACAGGCGCCCGCCACCAUGCCCGGCUAAUUUUUUGUAUUUUUAGUAGAGACGGGGUUUCAACGUGUUAGCCAGGAUGGUCUCGAUCUCCUGACCUUAUGAUCCACCCGUCUCGGCCUCCCAAAGUGCUGGGAUUAUGGGCGUGAGCCACCGCUCCCGGCCAUUUUUUGUGUUUAAAUUUUUUUUUUUUUUUUUAAAUCAAAACACCAGAAACCCCUCUGUGUAGGGCAGAGGUUCUUAAGCAGUGCGGGGCACCUGCAGGAUCUGUUCCAGCAGACAGCUGGCCCCAAAUCCUGGCUUUCUGGGUCAGGAGGGCU